UACGGGGGGAGCAAGCGUUGUUCGGAUUUACUGGGCGUAAAGGGCGCGUAGGCGGCGGUGACAAGUCACUUGUGAAAUCUCCGGGCUUAACUCGGAGCGGCCAAGUGAUACUGUCGUGCUAGAGUGCGGAAGGGGCUACUGGAAUUCUCGGUGUAGCGGUGAAAUGCGUAGAUAUCGUAAGGAAGACCAGUGGCGAAGGCGGGUCUCUGGACAGUUCCUGACGCUGAGGCA
rnacentral:rRNA from 1 species